GCGGGUGUAGUUAAACGGUAGAACACCAGUUUUCCAAACUGGAUACGAGGGUUCGACUCCCUUCACCCGCU
rnacentral:tRNA from 1 species